AUACUCCUGACUGACCGAUAGUGAACCAGUACCGUGAGGGAAAGGCGAAAAGAACCCCGGCGAGGGGAGUGAAAAAGAACCUGAAACCGUGUACGUACAAGCAGUGGGAGCACAGGUUUACCUGUGUGACUGCGUACCUUUUGUAUAAUGGGUCAGCGACUUAUAUUCUGUAGCAAGGUUAACCGUAUAGGGGAGCCGAAGGGAAACCGAGUCUUAACCGGGCGUUAAGUUGCAGGGUAUAGACCCGAAACCCGGUGAUCUAGCCAUGGGCAGGUUGAAGGUUGGGUAACACUAACUGGAGGACCGAACCGACUAAUGUUGAAAAAUUAGCGGAUGACCUGUGGCUGGGGGUGAAAGGCCAAUCAAACCGGGAGAUAGCUGGUUCUCCCCGAAAGCUAUUUAGGUAGCGCCUCGUGAAUUCAUCUCCGGGGGUAGAGCACUGUUUCGGCUAGGGGGCCAUCCCGGCUUACCAACCCGAUGCAAACUGCGAAUACCGGAGAAUGUUAUCACGGGAGACACACGGCGGGUGCUAACGUCCGUCGUGAAGAGGGAAACAACCCAGACCGC
rnacentral:rRNA from 1 species